UCUUCAUUUUUGUGGUAUAUCUGUUUCAUCUUCACUUCGAGUUUAUGCUUUUGUUUUCUGCUGAGUUUUGAAAUUUCUGUUCGAAUAAAGGUUUUACUUUUGCUGUUGUGCAUCUUUUUUUCAGGGUCAUGGUUUAACUUUUCUUUUCUGUUAUGCGUGUUUAUUUGGUGAUUCAUAGUUUUUUGUUUCGUGUUUCUUCUUCCUCUUUCGUUGCUUCUGUAGUUCAAGGUGGGACUGUUGUGCAUGUCUGUGUUUGGUGGGGCUGUUGUUGUUUUCCUGCGGUUCUUUUUCUUUGAUUUGUCUGAUUUUUUGUGGUUUUAUUUUUGGAACAGGCUACAGUAACAACGACGACUUUGGCAAAGAAGUUGUCGGAGAAGUUAAAAGGAAGAUAGAGGUUCUUCUCUUUUGAUUUUAUUAAAACAGUGUUUAAGUUUUGAUUUUAUUUUUGUUGUUAUGCAUGUUUUCUUCUUAAUAAUAAUUAUUUUUUCUUACUGAUUUUUCAACUCUAUUUCUGGUUCCUUUUUAUUUUUCUGGGCUAUCGACGAAGAAGCAUCCAGCAGGCAAGUUUUUCCCCUUUUGUUGUUAUGCAUGUUUGUUUCAUUACUCCCUAUGAUAUUGUGUGUAUAUGUCAAUUUGUUUGGGCCCCUUGGGUGGAGUACCCUCAAGUAUAGGGUAUUUGGUUUUACUAAAUUAUGAUGGAAAAAGCAUUGACUGUUGAUGAAGACCUUCAUAUUUUUAUAUAGAUGAUUAAUAAACUAUUUUCUAAGUUUAACUACUUCUUCUAUGAAUGUCAAAUUGCUAUCAUAAUCUAAAUUCCAAGUUUGCAGUUACGAGACAAUUUUUCUGUUGUUUCCAGAUUUGGGCUUGCGGCAUACAACUGUAUUCCAUCUAAUUAGUUGCCUCAAUGGAUCCUUUUGAUGAUCUUCCAACAAGAGAGAUUCAAUGAUAUCACUACUUUCUUUUUGUUGAUUGAAAACCCUACUCUAAACUUUGUUCCUGUGACAUUUGUUUUUACUAUGGUGUGCAGUGGCCGAAAGAGGCAUGGAUUCUGGGUCAAGAUGUUUCUCCUGGGUGUUGCAGAUUAUUUUGGUAUCGCAAGGAAUGAUCCCAAAGUAAUAAUUUCCCCUCUCUUUUUAUUUUAUUUUUGUGGUUGAGUCACGGGAUUCUUCUCUAGUUAAAGCUGUUCAGAUUCAAAAUAGGAAGCAAAUUAGGUGACUGAUGAAAUUUCCAAAAUAGGUACUUGCACAGGAAAUAGGUACUUCCAUGAGGGUCACAAAUGAUUAAAGUUCAAUUUCAUUAUUUAAUCUCUUAUUCUCUUUCAAGUAUUAUACUAUACAAUAGUGUUUUUAUAAAAAUAGGUUUUCUUUUGCAUUAUUCGACUUAUUAUUUGUAGUAACCAUGAUCAAUAAUCAACAGGGAGAUUCACCAGCAUAGAUGCAGAUUUAAAUGUCUUGACGGGUUGUUGGUGUUCUUUUUCCUGUUACUUUAUUCUUUGAAAUUAAUGUUACUAUUAUUCAAUAUUUGAUGCUUGCCUUUAUACUGCAAAAUUUGUGUGUAACUGCAGCACAUCAGCCUAUUAAAGAGAUAUUAGAAAAAGAAAAAAGGUACGUCUCUUUUUUAUGUUAGUGUUAUGCUUGGUAUCUAUGGGUUUGUCACUGCUUUUGAUGGUAAGUUACAGUUAGGUUGCAUGCAUAAAUCUUUCCAUAAAGUCUACAUGCUAUUUGCAUGUGUUACUUACUUACUAAUACCAUUUACCUUUUAAAAUCACUAAUCUGAAUUUUCACAUUCCUGAUGAUGAAGAUCUGGGAAGAGUUAUAAAGCUUUCAAAUUGAGUUGAAGUGAUUGAGUUUGGAUUUUUUUUUCUUUGGCAAGGAGAUUAAAGAGAGAAUGAAAAAAUGAUGGAGGUUGUGAUUGUUGCAAUUGCUGCUACACUUGUAAAUCUUCUGAUGGGAUGGGAUAGUUCAACUAUUGCAGCGGGUAUGACAGAGCCUUAGGAUAUAGUUGCCUACUGGAGUUCAUGGCCUGGGAUCUUUGGAGUUCGUCCUAUGCCCAAGGUUUCUCUGAGUCACAUUCCUUUCCGAAGAGCCCCAGAGGACUCACUAGAAUAAGGUUGGUCAAAGACAAUGAAUGUCUAAAGAUAGAAUAAAGAUACUCAAUAACACGGACCACCCCUUUUAUAUAUUCAUGGAUGUACUCUCUGUCUGUUUCCCUUUCAUUUCUGUUACUGCAUUCUUUUCCAAUUAGACUGAAACCUGCAUGUCAAAGUAGCUUUCA